GUCAGGCUUCUGGUGGGGUAGAGCUGGCAGGACCGGUGAUGGGAUUGGAUGUUGUCACCCCACGCUGUCAUCUGAGGCAGGGCUGGAUUGAUUGCAUCAUUUAAAACACCAAAGAAGCACCAAGAGGAGGAAAUUGGUAUAUUGGUAUACCAAUUAGAGGAAAAUGCUAACAUCUGUUAGCAUGGGUGUUUCUAUGUCAUGAGCUUCCCUAUGAAGAGGCCAAUAUGACAAAAGACAAAGAAAGACCUCUGGACAACAGCCAGCAAGGAACCAAGGCCUUCAGUCCUCCAGGUUAUGAGGAAGGGAAGCCUCUAACAAUUCUGUGAGUAAGCUUGGAAGCUGGGCCUUCUGUUCAUCCUUUGGGUGAGAUUUCAGUCCCAGUAGCUUGGGAG
rnacentral:lncRNA from 1 species